GUAGGUGAACCUGCGGAAGGAUCAUUAAAGAGUUAGGGUCUCUACAGGCCCGAUCUCCAACCCUCUGUUGUUAUAACUAUAUCGUUGCUUUGGCGGGACCGCCCGGUCAAACGGGCUGCCGGUCUUCGGCCCGGCAAGUGCCCGCCAGAGUCAAACCAAACUCUUGUUUUUAACCGGUCGUCUGAGCAAAACUUUUAAUUAAAUUAAAACUUUCAACAACGGAUCUCUUGGUUCUC
rnacentral:misc_RNA from 1 species